UUAAAACUUUUCAGCUAGAGUAUGAUAGAGGAAAGCAGAAUUUCUAGUGUAGAGGUGAAAUUCGUAGAUAUUAGAAAGAAUACCAAUUGCGAAGGCAGCUUUCUGGAUCAUUACUGACACUGAGGCACGAGAGCGUGGGGAGCGAACAGGAUUAGAUACCCCGGUAGUCCACGCUGUAAACGAUGUAUGCUAGUUGUUGGCCCAUUGGGGUCAGUGACGCAGUUAACGCGCUAAGCAUACCACCUGGGGAGUACGUUCGCAAGAAUGAAACUCAAAGGAAUUGACGGGGGCCCGCACAAGCGGUGGAGCAUGUGGCUUAAUUCGAUGCAACGCGAAGAACCUUACCUGGGCUAAAUCUACGCUGACCGGCUGGGAAACCAGCCUUCCCUUCGGGGCAGCAUAGAAGGUGCUGCAUGGCU
rnacentral:rRNA from 1 species